GAUUGUUCACCCACCAAUAGGGAACGUGAGCUGGGUUCAAACCGUCGUGAGACAAGUUAGUUUUACCCUACUUAUGAUAGUGUUGCAAUAGUAAUUCAACCUAGUACGAGAGGAACUGUUGAUUCACACAAUUGGUCAUCGCAAUUGGUUGAAAAGCUAGUGGCGCGAUGCUACCAUACGCUGGAUUAUGACUGAAUGCCUCUAAGUCAGAAUCUGGGCUAGAAGCGAUGCAUGCACCCGCUGCCCGCUUGCCGACCCAUAGUAAGGGUCUUCCGACCCCUAAUGGCACAUGUCAUUGGCAAAGCCCGCAUGGUGGAUGAGCCGCGCGGGCCACCUUGAAGUACAAUUCCUAUCUCGAGUGACAGGUAGAAUCCUUUGCAAUUGACUUAAAUAUGCGGCGGGGUAUUGUAAGUGGCAGAGUGUCCUUGUUGCCAUGAUCUACUGAGAU
rnacentral:rRNA from 1 species